rnacentral:snRNA from 1 species
UCAAACACCACUUGUCAGUUUUUU